UCUCCCUAAACAAAUUACACUCCCACCUCCCUCAUUUUUUUCAACCCUACAAAUGAUAUCAGCCGCCCAAAGCUCCUCUGCCCCUCUCAAAAAUUCCGGCGAUCGGAGCCAUUAUCGGCCGCCGCACACCCCUAACCCACUCUACUCUCAUAAAUACACCAUCACCUACCGACGACAACCCAACACCCUUCUUCUUCCACCCCCCUCACAUCACCACACCCUCGCUCUUUCUCUGUCUCUCUGUCGAGCAACAACAACAGCAGCGCCGAUAAUGACAACGACGGAUGAUGUUGAUGAUGAACCUGAUGAUAUAGAUGACGACGAGAUGAUAGUGGUGCAAGCCAUUGGCAGCCGGCGGCGACAGCCGACGACUGGGAAAGCUGGCCGACGCUAGUAACAUCACGACAGCGGUUGAGGUGACGAUGGGUUCUCUUCAGGUUCGAGUUGUGGGUUUGAGUAAACGGCGGCAAUGGACGUGGCGGUGGUUUUCUCGGGUCCGAGUUUGGAUGUUAGGGUCGCGGGUCGCACACACAGCCACCCGUUCUUAACCUACUGACUUUGACAGCUCUAGCAACUUCCUUUCAUGCGCUACAACCUUUGAGAGAUUCUAUAUCUUGCUUUGUAUGGGUUAAGUUACUAAGUGACAUAAAUUUCCAGCCAAAACCAUGAGUAGAAAUGGUCAGAAAAGGUGCGCCAUAGUUCCAACAUUUGAUGGUAGACAUGUUUAACGGAGCCUUUCUUGAGGAACGCUGAACUUGUAUCUUUACCAGAAUCAUAACAUCUGACAGACAUCAACAAAGCAAGGAGGCUCUGAUGUGGAGAGCUAUCAAACAACUAUCACUUGAAGAUCAAGACGAGUAGAAUAUUCUCUUUAUUAUUAGGAUGUUAUAUGUUGGUGUUAUACAAUAACUAUUAGAAUGUUAUAUGUUGAUGGUCUAUUUAUAAAAUUGGUUUUAUAAUCUUA